rnacentral:rRNA from 1 species
UUCUACGGCCAUACCACCCUGAACACGCCCAAUCUCAUCUGAUCUCGGAAGCUAAGCAGGGUCGGGCCUGGUUAAAAAAAAAAAAAAGAAAAAAACCACGUUGUUUUUCAAU